CUGGGCGGUCGCUCUGACAGCUAAGCUACUCUGUACCCGAGAUCUUAGGAAUUUGAUAUUUGUUAUCCAUCACUUAUUUAGACAAACUCGUUCUGUGCGGUGGGCGUCGCGCGUACUGCGCGUACAGGUUACGGACGCGUGCGGCGCGGCGCGGGCCAUCGCGCUGCUGGAACUGAUGCUGGCCAGACCCGGCGUGGAGACGGCUGUCGAGUGCAAUGAAGAGCUGGUGGAAGGUUGGGAAGAAGUGGGUAGGAGCGGGGAGGGGAGCGCGGUAGG